CUGCUCCCUGCCCACCAUUUGGCCUCCGGCAGCGAGGGAUAACUGAAUUACAGUAACAGCAAAAAGCUAAUCUCACUUCCUCUGUGGGGGUUGCAUGUGUGUGCACUUGUUCGCCUGUCUGUGGGGUGUUGUCAGUGUUCAGUUUGUGAGGCCGUGUGCAUUCGUUCAGGCUCAGCAUGGAUUUUUGGAAAACAUGUUAUCCUGACAGUGAGAGUGUAUGUUUACUAGAUGAAGAUGAAGGCUCCCAUCCAACUGUCCUGCAGGGACCAGAAGGUGAGGAGUAAUAGAGUCUUCAGUUUUCUGGACUCCUUUUGCCUGACGGCCUGCCUCAGGACUCCCCUUGUUUUUCUGGCUUAGGAGGAGUGCUUAAGGCUUCCAGCUGUGAGAUAUCUUGCGAGCUGCCUUCAGGAUCACGCACCCAGGGUCCAAGGUGGGAGUGAGAAGAAACAAUGGGUGGAUGAUGGGCUUCAGCUCCCAAAUCAAAACCUCACUUCUUUCUCUCUCACACACACACACACACACACACAC